GGAUGGGUGACCUCCCGGGA
rnacentral:sRNA from 1 species